GAUGAACGCUAGCUACAGGCUUAACACAUGCAAGUCGAGGGGUAGCAGGGUAGCAAUACCGCUGACGACCGGCGCACGGGUGAGUAACACGUAUCCAACCUUCCCACAACUCAGGGAUAGCCUUUCGAAAGAAAGAUUAAUACCUGAUAGUACUUUUUCAAGGCAUCUUGAGAACGUUAAAGAUUUAUCGGUUACGGAUGGGGAUGCGUUCCAUUAGAGAGUUGGUGAGGUAACGGCUCACCAAGUCUUCGAUGGAUAGGGGUUCUGAGAGGAAGGUCCCCCACAUUGGUACUGAGACACGGACCAAACUCCUACGGGAGGCAGCAGUGAGGAAUAUUGGUCAAUGGGCGAGAGCCUGAACCAGCCAAGUAGCGUGAAGGAUGAAGGUCCUAUGGAUUGUAAACUUCUUUUAUAGUAGAAUAAAGUGACCUACGUGUAGGUUUUUGUAUGUAUACUAUGAAUAAGGAUCGGCUAACUCCGUGCCAGCAGCCGCAGUAACAC
rnacentral:rRNA from 1 species